AACGUACGCUGGCGGCACGCCUAACACAUGCAAGUCGAACGAAGUAGCAAUACUUAGUGGCAGACGGGUGAGUAACAUGUAGGUAUCUGCCCUUUGGCCUGGAAUAACACGAGGAAACUUGUGCUAAUACCGGAUAAGUCUUUACGGAGAAAGCUUUAUGCACCAUUGGAUGAGCCUGCACUUGAUUAGUUUGUUGGUGGGGUAAUGGCCUACCAAGACUGUGAUCAAUAGCUGAUUUGAGAGGAUGAUCAGCCACAUUGGGACUGAGACACGGCCCAAACUCCUACGGGAGGCAGCAGUGGGGAAUCUUGCACAAUGGAGGAAACUCUGAUGCAGCGAUGCCGCGUGAGUGAAGAAGGCCCUUGGGUUGUAAAGCUCUUUCGUCGGGGAAGAAAAUGACUGUACCCGAAUAAGAAGGUCCGGCUAACUUCGUGCCAGCAGCCGCGGUAAUACGAAGGGACCUAGCGUAGUUCGGAAUUACUGGGCUUAAAGAGUUCGUAGGUGGUUGAAAAAGUUAGUGGUGAAAUCCCAGAGCUUAACUCUGGAACUGCCAUUAAAACUUUUCAGCUAGAGUAUGAUAGAGGAAAGCAGAAUUUCUAGUGUAGAGGUGAAAUUCGUAGAUAUUAGAAAGAAUACCAAUUGCGAAGGCAGCUUUCUGGAUCAUUACUGACACUGAGGAACGAAAGCAUGGGUAGCGAAGAGGAUUAGAUACCCUCGUAGUCCAUGCCGUAAACGAUGUGUGUUAGACGUUGGAAAUUUAUUUUCAGUGUCGCAGGGAAACCGAUAAACACACCGCCUGGGGAGUACGACCGCAAGGUUAAAACUCAAAUGAAUUGACGGGGACCCGCACAAGUAGUGGAGCAUGUGGUUUAAUUCGAAGAUACGCGCAGAACCUUACCAACACUUGACAUGUUCGUCGCGACUCUAAGAGAUUAGAGUUUUCGGUUCGGCCGGACGAAACACAGGUGCUGCAUGGCUGUCGUCAGCUCGUGUCGUGAGAUGUUGGGUUAAGUCCCGCAACGAGCGCAACCCUCACUUUUAGUUGCCAUCAUUAAGUUGGGCACUCUGAAAGAACUGCCAGUGAUAAGCUGGAGGAAGGUGGGGAUGACGUCAAGUCCUCAUGGCCCUUACGUGUUGGGCUACACACGUGCUACAAUGGUAUCUACAACAGGAAGCAAGACUGCGAAGUUAAGCAAAUCCCUAAAAGAUACCUCAGUUCGGAUUGCACUCUGCAACUCGAGUGCAUGAGGCUGGAAUUACUAGUAAUCGUGGAUCAGCGUGCCACGGUGAAUGCGUUCCCGGGUCU
rnacentral:rRNA from 1 species